UUGGAUCCAUGAAGGAAUAAACUCUAAGUCGAAGAGUAAAGGUAAACCAACAAGUGAUGGGCCUAAGGCAUGAUAUCACUAUAUUGGAAUAACAAAAAAACAAAGGAAUUAUGUGUUUGGCAAUAAUCCAAACAACUUUUGGUUCACAAGAUAGACUUUGAUUAGGUCAUCCUAAAAGGAUGUGCGUGGGUCCAAGGAAAAAUGAUAUUUG
rnacentral:lncRNA from 1 species